AACAUCACUACAACUGCCAACAUAUCUUCAACUUGAUCGGCGCAAGCCAACCUCAGCAAUGGAAAGGACAGUAAUAUACAACAGGAGAAGAGGAACAUUACUCGCGACGGCGCAGUCAUCUAGAAAUUAAUUUUUUUCAUAAAAGCGCUUGAUAAAGGAACAGAUGAUAUCAUCCUCUUACUAGAUUCUCAAUGAACAUGUUAAGACCGAGAAAUCUGGCUUCGCGCAAUGCUGCAAUAAUAUAAAGAAUAGCCGCAAUCUCCAUUAAUAUUUCGGCGAUUAGUCGAAUCUUGGCAGAUAAUGUUGUUAGAUGCAUCAGUCUACACUUUUCUGUGAGAUUGUUCCACCUAAUAUCGAAAAUAUGCAUUAAGAGUCAUCUUGGACGUAUACGUGGUCGCUAGUAAACAUUUUGAAAUUUGUA